GAGGGUAUAGCUCAGUGGUAGAGAGCAUGCUUAGCAUGCAUAAGGUCCUGGGUUCAUUCCCCAGUACUUCCA
rnacentral:tRNA from 1 species